ACCUCGGUGGCGCAGUGGUGUAAAUAUGCUCGCCUAAUAAGCGGGAGGGUAGAGGUUCAAAUCCCAACCGAGGUA
rnacentral:tRNA from 1 species